UUCCAUACCGAUGAAGCAAAGGAGUUAAAUUAUUUUAUUCUUAAAAAUUUUCACAGCUUUAAAAUUCAAUGUACUCUAUGAUUCAAUUAUUUUUACUUACUUAUAAUUAAGCUACACAAAUAUUUGUAAAAUUCCCUUUGAGGAUCGAUCUAUCUAUCUAUCUAUCUGUCUAUCUAUCUAUCUAUCUAUCUAUCAUCUUUCUUUGGUGAAAGUUUAAAUGCUGUUUAAUUCAUAUACAAACACACACAUUAAUAUUCACAGUUACAUUUAAUUUGAUUACUUUCUUAGUGUACCGAUAACUUCAAUAUUCUUACUGUAUUUAUAAAGUAUGAUUCAUCUACACUUAGAAGCAAUAUAAUUCUUUAUUUCUAGUCUUUGUUAAUAAUUGAUUUUAGAGCCUCAAAAUAAAUAUAGACUAAUUGUUACCCUCGAAGAUACUUUUUGUUUACUUUAAUCCUUACAAGAAGAUAAAAUUUUCGGAAGCAUGCAUGGUUAUUUCUUUGCUCUCUUUUGAUACAGAGAGCUGAAAUUGAUUUUCAUUUUCUCUCUUAUGUGAAAAGCAACAUUUUGAGUUCAGUUGCUUUUACCUUGAGAAUACCAUCUCAUGUUUUCAGGUCCCUAGGCAAUGGUCAUGGCGUAUUUCCAAAAAGUGAAUCUCUAUAAGUUGUCAGAAAACAUUUCCUGUGGCCUGGUUGCCAUCCCAUCUGGAUGCCAAAAUCUCUUCCACUAUGAAUUGUGGUCUUUGAUCCAGAAAUUGGAAGAAUAGAGUGAAGAACAAUGUGACUUUUCAUCACCUGCAAAUAGCAUAUCCAUUACUCAAACAUGGGUUAUGAAUUUGUAUUUCUUUAUUGCUGUUACAUAUAUGAGAUAAAAACAAAGAAAUGUACAAGAAGAGAAAGAAGUGAAAUGAAACACAAAUAUUCAUUACCUCAGUGGUCACUUUUAUUAUGAUGACAAAAUUGGUAACUUAAAUUUGAAACACUUGGAGCCUGUUUAUAUAGUGAGUUUGUAUGAUGAAAUAUUAUAGAAUCAUUUAAAAAUCAUGUUUAUUAAUACUCAUUGACAUAGAAAAUUUUAUAUGUUGUUAAAUAGAAUACUAAUAUAAAAAUGUUAAGACAUGCAUGCAAUAUUGUCAUAAUCCACAGAGACAGACACACGCACACACACACACUGCAUGUACCAAAACUGUGAAUAGUUUUAAACUUGACUAAUGUGAAAAAAGAGGCAAGUAUUGUUGCAAUAGUGUGAGUGCAACACAAAACAGGAGUUACAGCAAGAAAACAUAUACUCCUCUAAAAACAUCUUUAGAAAACUAUAGCCAAACUCUGAGAAAUGUCCAGCAUUAAUAUAUCCUAUUUUUAUGAUUCUGAGAAAUAAAUAUGGAAAAACUACAUACAGAAUAUUGCUGCCGCUAACUUAUAAAUAUAUGAUCAGAGCUGAAAAUACACCACUUUGUCUUUUCUUUCAACCAGUGACACAGAUUAUUUCUGGCAGAAAAUAGUAAGUGCUGCUCUUUAUUGGAGCCUUUCACUGAAAAUGCACCUCAUGCCUAAUUCAAUUCAACUAGUCAAUUUUUAUUGAAUAUACCGUGUGUUUAGGGUAUAUUCAAUUGUGCAUUUUGGUUAGGCACAUUCAGAGAAGAGGAAACACCCCCGAAGUAUGUUUUGGUGCUAAAAUAUAUAAUAGAGAGAUUUAGUUCUGUGGGACACAGAGAAGGCCAGGACUAUUGUGACCUGUAAUGGUUGGAAAAUAGUUUUGAGGCCCAUGGCAGUGUUUGUCAUAUUUACUGCUGCAUGUCAAGUGCCUGGGACAAUGCUUAGAACCUAAGGGUGCUACUCCAAAGCACCUGCUCUUAAAAAUAGCACAAUAAUGUCCCUAAACACAUCAAGGUUAAUAAGACAUAACAAAAAUAAUGAAUACUAUUACAAAGCAUUCAUUUCUGAGGACUUAUAAAAUUUAAAGCAUUCUAGAUCUUUAUAAAAUCGAAUUCUUCCAUGAAAUAUUCAAUCACCCUAAAUAAAUCCUUUUCAAUCUGAAAUCCAUUUAACUUAUUGAGAGAAACGAGAAAAAUCUUCAGCAUGCUUACCACAAACCCCCCCCCCCCCCACCCCCCCCCACCCCCCACCCAUACCCAUAAUUUUUACACCUGGCAAAUUUAAAAAAUAGUCUCCACAAUUUUCUUCCCACAUUU
rnacentral:lncRNA from 1 species